AACGCAUAUUGCGCCCGAGGCUUCGGCCAAGGGCAUGUCUGCCUCAGCGUCGCUUACACCCCUCACCUACUCUCUCCUGUUAUAGGAUAGAGUAAGUGGACCUGGCUUUCUCAGCCGACUUGAGUGUCGGCUGGGUUUGCUGAAGAGCAGAGGUUGAUGCAUGGACCCGUUACAUGGGCCUCAGCUGGGUAGUGCAAUUCGUUGCUCAAUGCUUUAGCUGUUGGCUUGGGACUGUGCUUGUCGACCCGAACCAGGAAACUCUUUAUUCAACUUUCGACCUGAGCUCAGGCAAGAACACCCGCUGAACUUAA
rnacentral:misc_RNA from 1 species